rnacentral:rRNA from 1 species
UACGUAGGGGGCGAGCGUUGUCCGAAGUUACUGGGCGUAAAGCGCGCGUAGGCGGCCACUUAAGUCUGGGGUGAAAGGUUCAGCGCUCAACGUGAACAGUGCCUUGGAUACUGGGUGGCUUGAGUCCGGGAGAGGGUAGUGGAAUUCCUGGUGUAGCGGUGAAGUGCGUAGAUAUCAGGAGGAACACCGGUGGCGAAGGCGGCUACCUGGCCUAGGACUGACGCUGAGGUGCGAAAGCGUGGGGAGCGAACGGG